rnacentral:rRNA from 1 species
CGGAGGGGGCUAGCGUUGUUCGGAAUCAUUGGGCGUAAAGGGCGCGUAGGCGGCCGAUCAAGUCGGAGGUGAAAUCCCUCGGCUCAACUGAGGAACUGCCUUCGAUACUGUUCGGCUUGAGUCCUGGAGAGGGUAGCGGUAUUCCCGGUGUAGCGGUGAAAUGCGUAGAGACCGGGAAGAACACCAGUGGCGAAGGCGGCUACCUGGACAGGUACUGACGCUGAAGCGCGAAAGCUAGGGGAGCAAACAGG